rnacentral:lncRNA from 10 species
CAGACCACAUAUGCAACAAUAGUCCCAUGAUUCUAAUGGAGCUGAAAGACUCCUUUCAUCUAGUAAUAUCAUAGCCCUAAACAAACCUACUGUGCUGCCAAUUAUAUGUAAGUAUAGCACAUAUGAUUAUGUACCUUGCAUAGUACUUGAUAAUGAUAAUAAAUGACAGAAGAAACUAUUUCUAUACAGCUGUAUGAAUUGUUUGUAUUUUAGAAAUUAUUAGAAAAGAAAUUAAAAAGUUUAUAAAGUAAAAAAUUACAAUAAGCUAAAGUUAAUUUAUUAUUGAAGAAAGAAAACUAUUCUUAUAAAUUUGGUGUAGACUAAGUGUCCAUCUUUUAGCUGCUUACAGUAAAAUUAGAGAGAAGAGAAAUGAUUUUAAGAUGGAAUUAAUAAUUAAAACAGAAGCAGAAUAGAAAGAUUUGGAAAACUCUCAGACUGGCCAUGUAAACAAUAAUAAAGCAUGCUUGGGAGAGAAUACUAACCGUGUGGUCAAGCGACUGUUUGCUAAAAAUAGUAAUAUGGAUGGAAGGAAGAUAGAUCCUAUUCAUCAAGAAUAUGGGACAAAGAUCAUCUAGGCAUUUCAGAUAUGUUCAGGACUGCCCCUCCAAUCACAGGCCCAGAGCAGGACCUUGAAGGCAAGGUUUCCAGAGAGAUGCUCUAAAGGCCUCAUGAUUUGUUGUCCUACACCACCUCCAGGGCAGGACACCUCUGUUUCUUCAUCCCAAUGCAGCACUCCUGGGCCACCCCAGGAGUAAAUAUGGCUUAAGUGGGCCUAGGUGCAGCUUGGGCUGCUUGGUCUGCCACUUUGGAGGGCAAAAGCAGUGGGCCUUGGCAGUGUCCACAUAUAACUAACUCUGAAAGUGCACAUAGUUUGCAAGUUAUGGGGCCACGGUAGCCUCCACCAAGAUUUCACAAGAUGUCGUGGACAGCUUGGGGCCCAGGCAGAAACUUGUCACAGAGGCAGAAUCACCA